UCAGAAUCCGCUGACACAGUGAAGAGCCGUCUGGGCAUCAAGUUCUUCAGCGGGAAUAUUUAGCUGGACCCGGUGAUCCUGCAUGAAAAGACGAAGAUAUCCAUGCAAAUUAAUCAAGAAAAUAAAAUAGAAACCCUGAUGGAUACCAACCUAACCGAAACCAAAAUAACACUGUAUUGGCUUCCAUUGGUUGACUGGGGUCUAUGAAUACGCUUGCUGGGUUGGCAGAUUUCCAAAUUUCCAAAGGGAAAGUGUGGAACACAAAAGUGGUGUAAAUGGAGCUGUGCAAAAAUCUGCCGUCUUCUUACGUGUCACGGCAAUGAUAAUGAAAAUUUAAGCGUAUGCAGAGUGUUUUGCAAAUAAUGUUAAACACUGGAAAUUAUACUCUGCAUUUUAAUAAAGCGGUUGGGAC